CACUUGCACGUGCUUGGAUGGUUAUCAAGGCAGGAACUGUGAAUUUGUCAUACCAAAGUUCUGCAGGAUAAACAACGGGGACUGUGAGCAGUUCUGCAGCGUCCGAAGAGAUGGGCGGAAGGAUGUGUUGUGUUCCUGUGCAGAUGGGUACCUUCUAGCAGAGGAUGGCAGACACUGUGUUGCAACAGUAAAAUACCCUUGUGGAAAAGUUUCUGUGGUA